AUGGCAGAGGAGCUUGCUGCUCUUGAGCGCACAUGCACGCGGGAUCUUGUUUCUCUUACUCCCGGUGUUCGUCCCAUCACUUGUAAGUGGGUCUACAAAGUUAAGACUCGCUCUGAUGGUUCUCUUGAGCGUUACAAAGCUCGUCUUGGGGCUCGUGGCUUUCAGCAGGAGCAUGGUCGUGAUUACGAUGAGACUUUUGCUCAUGUGGCCCAUAUAACCACUAACCACACACUUCUCGCUGUGGCCUCUAUUCGCCAUUGGUCUGUUUCUCAGCUAGAUGUUAAGAAUGCCUUUCUUAAUGGUGAGUUGUGUGAGGAGGUUUAUAUGCAGCCACCACCCAGCUAUUCUGUUCCUGAUGGCAUGGUAUGCCGUCUUUGUCGCUCUCUUUAUGGCCUUAAGCAAGCCCCUCGUGCCUGGUUUGAGCGUUUUGCCUCUGUGGUGACCGCCGCUGGUUUUUCAGCGAGUGCUCAUGAUCCGGCGUUGUUUGUCCACCUUUCAGCUCGUGGUCAGACUCUUGUUAUUCUAUAUGUUGAUGACAUGAUCAUCACUGGUGAUGAUCUUGAGUACAUUGCCUUUGUCAAGGCCCGUCUCAGUGAGCAGUUUCUUAUGUCUGAUCUUUCUCCUCUUCGUUACUUUCUUGGGAUUGAGGUUUCCUCCACCUCUGAUGGAUUUUUUAUUUCCCAAGAAAAGUAUAUCCAGGAUCUUCUUACUCGUGCAGCUCUUAGUGAUGAGCGCACUAUUGAGACUCCUAUGGAGCUCAAUCUUCACCUUCGCGCUUCUGAUGGUGAGCCCUUGUCUGAUCCGACACGCUAUCGCCAUCUUGUUGGGAGUCUUGUCUAUCUUGUCGUCACUCGUCCGUAUAUCUCCUAUCAUGUCCAUAUCUUGAGUUAG
rnacentral:rRNA from 1 species